CUUUAAUUGUCUUACAGACAGAUGCAUACGUAUGUGUUUAUAUACAAACUCAAUUCUGAAAAUGUUCAGAGCACAGUAAUCUUACUUGAUUUAUAAGCAUGAUUAUAUGAGGUUUAAGCAGUAUUAAGUAUUUGAUAAUUAGAGCUACAUGAAUUGGGCAAGGAAAUUUAUCAUUUAAUAUAUAACAAUAUGGAUUUUUUUUUUUGGCAAACAUGGCAGAGAACAUAGUUUUGGUUAUAGUAAAUUUAAUGUUAUUCGUGGCUUGCUAAUAUAUGUCUACAGAAUGUAAAAUCAUUUCUACAGAUAAAUUUGUAAUCUAGAAAUACACAAACAUGUAUGAAGCAUAAGUGAAUCAUUGAUUAAAUAAUUUCUCUCAUAGUGUUAUUGAUCACCUGGAAUCAAUUUCAGGAAGAUGUUGAUUCCUCUAAACAUUUAAUACAGCAACUUCUGAUAGGGUAAAAAAUUUCAUAUUUCUUAUCAUGCAAAAAUUUCUAAUGUGUCAAUCAUGGAUAAAAGAUGUCAUUUCUCUUUUUGGUACAUAAAAGUUGUUUUGGGAUAUUUUAUACUAUUCCAGGAAGUUUGUUUUUGUUUUUAUGUUAAGACCUUUGGGGUGUUCCAGCAAUGGUACCCUUUUUCUAAGUAGAGAGUGUGCAUUCCAGAGGGAUCAUGCAGUAAAGAGUGCGCAUUCCAGAGUGAUCAUGCUUUAUAAAACUUAAUGUGUCAGAACUGUAGAAAGAGAAGAAUGAGGAGGGAAUCUUCAGGGUGAACUGCAAUGAGGAUUUGACUCAUUUUAAAAUUAGCCUUC
rnacentral:lncRNA from 1 species